rnacentral:rRNA from 1 species
GAUGAACGCUAGCGGCAGGCCUAAUACAUGCAAGUCGAACGGCAGCACGGGUAGCAAUAUCUGGUGGCGAGUGGCGCACGGGUGCGUAACACGUAUGCAAUCUUCCUUCAACUGGGGAAUAGCUCACCGAAAGGUGAAUUAAUACCCCAUAAUAUUCGAGAGUGGCAUCACUCUCCAAUUAAAGCUCAGGCGGUUGAAGAUGAGCAUGCGGAACAUUAGCUUGUUGGUGAGGUAACGGCUCACCAAGGCUACGAUGUUUAGGGGAUCUGAGAGGAUUAACCCCCACACUGGUACUGAGACACGGACCAGACUCCUACGGGAGGCAGCAGUAAGGAAUAUUGGACAAUGGAGGCAACUCUGAUCCAGCCAUGCCGCGCGCAGGAUGAAGGCCCUAUGGGUUGUAAACUGCUUUUAUACGGGAAAAAACCCCUCUACGUGUAGAGGGUUGAUGGUACCGUAAGAAUAAGGAUCGGCUAACUCCGUGCCAGCAGCCGCGGUAAUACGGAGGAUCCGAGCGUUAUCCGGAUUUAUUGGGUUUAAAGGGUGCGUAGGCGGAUUUGUAAGUCAGUGGUGAAAUCCUGCAGCUUAACUGUAGAACUGCCAUUGAUACUGCAAGUCUUGAGUACAUAUGAUGUGGGCGGAAUGUGUAGUGUAGCGGUGAAAUGCUUAGAUAUUACACAGAACACCGAUUGCGAAGGCAGCUCACAAAACUGUAACUGACGCUGAGGCACGAAAGCGUGGGGAGUGAACAGGAUUAGAUACCCUGGUAAUCCACGCCUUAAACGAUGAUUACUCGAUGUGUGCGAUACACAGCACGCGUCCUAGCGAAAGCGUUAAGUAAUCCACCUGGGGAGUACGAUCGCAAGGUUGAAACUCAAAGGAAUUGACGGGGGCCCGCACAAGCGGAGGAGCAUGUGGUUUAAUUCGAUGAUACGCGAGUGUGGUUUAUUCGAUGAUACGCGAGGAACCUUACCUGGGCUUGAAAGUUAGUGACCGUCUGUGAAAGCAGACUUUCCGCAAGGACACGGAACUAGGUGCUGCAUGGCUGUCGUCAGCUCGUGCCGUGAGGUGUUGGGUUAAGUCCCGCAACGAGCGCAACCCCUAUCUUUAGUUGCCAGCGAGUAAUGUCGGGGACUCUAAAGAAACUGCCCGUGCAAACGGUGAGGAAGGUGGGGAUGACGUCAAGUCAGCACGGCCCUUACGUCCAGGGCUACACACGUGCUACAAUGGCGAAGACAAUGGGCAGCUACAUAGUGAUAUGAUGCUAAUCUCUAAACUUCGUCUCAGUUCGGAUUGAAGUCUGCAACUCGACUUCAUGAAGCUGGAUUCGCUAGUAAUCGUAGAUCAGCAAUGCUACGGUGAAUACGUUCCCGGGCCUUGUACACACCGCCCGUCAAGCCAUGGAAGUUGGGAGUACCUGAAGUACAUCACCGUAAGGAGUGUCCUAGGGUAAAACCAAUGACUGGGGCU